rnacentral:rRNA from 1 species
UUAAUUCGAAGCAACGCGCAGAACCUUACCAACCCUUGACAUGGGAAGUAUGGGCCUGAGAGAUCGGGUCCUUCAGUUCGGCUGGCUUCCACACAGGUGCUGCAUGGCUGUCGUCAGCUCGUGUCGUGAGAUGUUGGGUUAAGUCCCGCAACGAGCGCAACCCUCCUCUUCAGUUGCCAUCAUUCAGUUGGGCACUCUGGAGAUACUGCCGGUGACAAGCCGGAGGAAGGCGGGGAUGACGUCAAGUCUUCAUGGCCCUUACGGGUUGGGCUACACACGUGCUACAAUGGCGGUGACAAUGGGCAGCGAAAGGGCGACCUGGAGCUAAUCCCCAAAAGCCGUCUCAGUUCGGAUUGCACUCUGCAACUCGGGUGCAUGAAGUUGGAAUCGCUAGUAAUCGUGGAUCAGCACGCCACGGUGAAUACGUUCCCGGGCCUUGUACACACCGCC